GCUUAUCAAGAGUGGCGGAGGGACUAGGCCCAAUGAUGCCCGGCAACCGGUCUAUAUGACAUCGGUGCUAAUUCCUACGGUUUAUUCCGAAAGAUGAG
rnacentral:ncRNA from 1 species